UUUGCUGAGAGUGUUUGGAAGGAAGACUCUCAGGGUCUCACUGUGUCGCCCAGGCUGGAGUACAGUGAUGUGAUCAUAGUUCCCUGCAGCCUCAACCUCUCAGGCUCAAGCAAUCCUCCCACCUCAGCCUCCUGAGUAGCUGGGACUACAGAUGAACACACAUAGAUUGAGUCAAGAACCCACUGAAGACAAUCAUCAGAGCUGAGAAAAUGAACUAAGAAAAAGAUGUAUGUGGCUGUAAUUAGAAGACAAACAAUUUGCCUGCUCUCAUUUGGCUGAGCAUUUUAAAAAUCCUUUUCAAUAAUACAAGAGAGAAGAGACUGAAUUGUGAUGGCUGGAACCAUGGAUGAGAGAACAACACACACCCAUCAGAAAAUGUGCCUGGAGCACCUCCUGGGUGGCAGCCUGUUGCAGCAGCAUUCAUAAGUCUGGGGACAUACAGUCUGGGAUAGGUGUCCAGGUAUAUUCUGCUAUCAAUAUUGCUAGAAAGUUACCAAAACACCCUGAGCCUCAACUUCUUUAUUGUUAAGGAAACUGAGACCAGAUGGGUGAUGUGAGCUGCUCAAAACAGGACACAGACAAUGAAGAGAAGAACCAGGAAAGAACAGGAGGAAAGAGCACUGGACUUGGUGUCAGAAGACGAGGGUGGAAUCUCAACUUUGCCACUAAUUAGUACCAUGACCUUGGACCGAGAACAAAGAGGAGACCGGUCUGAUGGAGAGACUAUUGCC